AGGGCGCACGGUGGAUGCCUUGGCACUAGAAGCCGAAGAAGGACGUUACUAACGACGAUAUGCUUUGGGUAGCUGUAAGUAAGCGUUGAUCCAGAGAUUUCCGAAUGGGGGAACCCAACAUGAGUUAUGUCAUGUUAUCGACAUGUGAAUUCAUAGCAUGUCAGAAGGCAGACCCGGAGAACUGAAACAUCUUAGUACCCGGAGGAAGAGAAAGAAAAAUCGAUUCCCUGAGUAGCGGCGAGCGAAACGGGAAGAGCCCAAACCAACAAGCUUGCUUGUUGGGGUUGUAGGACACUCUAUACGGAGUUACAAAAGAACAUGUUAGACGAAUCAUCUGGAAAGAUGAAUCAAAGAAGGUAAUAAUCCUGUAGUCGAAAACAUAUUCUCUCUUGAGUGGAUCCUGAGUACGACGGAGCACGUGAAAUUCCGUCGGAAUCUAGGAGGACCAUCUCCUAAGGCUAAAUACUCUCUAGUGACCGAUAGUGAACCAGUACCGUGAGGGAAAGGUGAAAAGUACCCCGGAAGGGGAGUGAAAGAGAACUUGAAACCGUGUGCUUACAAGUAGUCAGAGCCCGUUUAUGGGUGAUGGCGUGCCUUUUGUAGAAUGAACCGGCGAGUUACGAUCUGAUGCAAGGUUAAGCAGCGAAUGUGGAGCCGUAGCGAAAGCGAGUCUGAAUAGGGCGUUGAGUAUUUGGUCGUAGACCCGAAACCAGGUGAUCUACCCUUGGUCAGGUUGAAGUUCAGGUAACACUGAAUGGAGGACCGAACCGACUUACGUUGAAAAGUGAGCGGAUGAACUGAGGGUAGCGGAGAAAUUCCAAUCGAACUUGGAGAUAGCUGGUUCUCUCCGAAAUAGCUUUAGGGCUAGCCUCAAGUGAUGAUUAUUGGAGGUAGAGCACUGUUUGGACGAGGGGCCCCUCUCGGGUUACCGAAUUCAGACAAACUCCGAAUGCCAAUCAAUUUAACUUGGGAGUCAGAACAUGGGUGAUAAGGUCCGUGUUCGAAAGGGAAACAGCCCAGACCACCAGCUAAGGUCCCAAAAUAUAUGUUAAGUGGAAAAGGAUGUGGCGUUGCCCAGACAACUAGGAUGUUGGCUUAGAAGCAGCCAUCAUUUAAAGAGUGCGUAAUAGCUCACUAGUCGAGUGACACUGCGCCGAAAAUGUACCGGGGCUAAACAUAUUACCGAAGCUGUGGAUUGUCCUUCGGACAAUGGUAGGAGAGCGUUCUAAGGGCGUUGAAGCAUGAUCGCAAGGACAUGUGGAGCGCUUAGAAGUGAGAAUGCCGGUGUGAGUAGCGAAAGACGGGUGAGAAUCCCGUCCACCGAUUGACUAAGGUUUCCAGAGGAAGGCUCGUCCGCUCUGGGUUAGUCGGGUCCUAAGCUGAGGCCGACAGGCGUAGGCGAUGGAUAACAGGUUGAUAUUCCUGUACCACCUAGUAUCGUUUUAAUCGAUGGGGGGACGCAGUAGGAUAGGCGAAGCGUGCUGUUGGAGUGCACGUCCAAGCAGUAAGGCUGAGUGUUAGGCAAAUCCGGCACUCGUUAGGCUGAGCUGUGAUGGGGAGAGGAAAUUGUUUCCUCGAGUCGUUGAUUUCACACUGCCGAGAAAAGCCUCUAGAUAGAUAACAGGUGCCCGUACCGCAAACCGACACAGGUAGUCAAGAUGAGAAUUCUAAGGUGAGCGAGCGAACUCUCGUUAAGGAACUCGGCAAAAUGACCCCGUAACUUCGGGAGAAGGGGUGCUCUUUAGGGUUCACGCCCAGAAGAGCCGCAGUGAAUAGGCCCAAGCGACUGUUUAUCAAAAACACAGGUCUCUGCUAAACCGUAAGGUGAUGUAUAGGGGCUGACGCCUGCCCGGUGCUGGAAGGUUAAGAGGAGUGGUUAGCUUCUGCGAAGCCACGAAUCGAAGCCCCAGUAAACGGCGGCCGUAACUAUAACGGUCCUAAGGUAGCGAAAUUCCUUGUCGGGUAAGUUCCGACCCGCACGAAAGGCGUAACGAUUUGGGCACUGUCUCAACGAGAGACUCGGUGAAAUCAUAGUACCUGUGAAGAUGCAGGUUACCCGCGACAGGACGGAAAGACCCCGUGGAGCUUUACUGUAGCCUGAUAUUGAAAUUCGGCACAGCUUGUACAGGAUAGGUAGGAGCCAUUGAAACGUGAGCGCUAGCUUACGUGGAGGCGUUGGUGGGAUACUACCCUAGCUGUGUUGGCUUUCUAACCCGCACCACUUAUCGUGGUGGGAGACAGUGUCAGGCGGGCAGUUUGACUGGGGCGGUCGCCUCCUAAAAGGUAACGGAGGCGCUCAAAGGUUCCCUCAGAAUGGUUGGAAAUCAUUCACAGAGUGUAAAGGCAUAAGGGAGCUUGACUGCGAGACCUACAAGUCGAGCAGGGUCGAAAGACGGACUUAGUGAUCCGGUGGUUCCGCAUGGAAGGGCCAUCGCUCAACGGAUAAAAGCUACCCCGGGGAUAACAGGCUUAUCUCCCCCAAGAGUUCACAUCGACGGGGAGGUUUGGCACCUCGAUGUCGGCUCAUCGCAUCCUGGGGCUGUAGUCGGUCCCAAGGGUUGGGCUGUUCGCCCAUUAAAGCGGUACGCGAGCUGGGUUCAGAACGUCGUGAGACAGUUCGGUCCCUAUCCGUCGUGGGCGUAGGAAAUUUGAGAGGAGCUGUCCUUAGUACGAGAGGACCGGGAUGGACAUACCUCUGGUGUACCAGUUGUCGUGCCAACGGCAUAGCUGGGUAGCUAUGUAUGGACGGGAUAAGUGCUGAAAGCAUCUAAGCAUGAAGCCCCCCUCAAGAUGAGAUUUCCCAACUUCGGUUAUAAGAUCCCUCGAAGAUGACGAGGUUAAUAGGUUCGAGGUGGAAGCGUGGUGACACGUGGAGCUGACGAAUACUAAUCGAUCGAAGACUUAAUC
rnacentral:rRNA from 2 species